rnacentral:sRNA from 1 species
CUUUACAUGCCUCAGACUCGUGGUUUAGACGUGCUGCUCACACAUUAGAAGAACCAUACACAUGUUCAUCACAAAGAUCAUUUUAUAUGAAGGAGAUCCGGUUCUUGCCUAUGUACGUCACCCAAACUUGGGAUGUUAUUACAUAUCAGCUGAAGAGAAAACUACAUAAUGGAAUAAAAUGCUGAUCAGAUAACACUUGGCGUUAACGAUGUAUAUAAUUGUAGUUUAAUUCCGUGAGAAAGUUAUCAGACAUUGCAAUCACAGUUGAAAAGAUAUCAUCAUGUGUUGGAGCAGAUCCAAAAACAGUGGGGUACAACCAUCUAUGUCGCGAUAAGAGACAAAGACGGUGACCUCAUCCUCCGUAAAAACCUGUUUGUCUGUUGAGCUAAGGGCUCGGCUACUCAUCUAAGCACAGCAGAUAUCAAUACAGAAAUGAUAGAACAAACCAUACAAUGUACAAGUUCUAAACAUUUGAAUAGCCAGACAUAAUUAUGGACUCUAAUUUAAAAAGGUAGAAUAUUGUCAGCUACGCAUAAAAAAAGUGAAAAAUUCGAGACAACAGAGGGACAAGUAACAACACAACUGAAAGUGUUACGACGAGAAGACACUUUAUUGCGUUUGCUGUUCAAACCAAAGGUUUCUUGCUUCUAACCGAUGUCCUCGGUUGUAUCUGUAAGAUACUGAACACGUUGUGAAUGUCUUUCUACUUGAUAAUAUAAAGAAAAAGUAAUUAAAAACUGUAAAUUU